CCAGAACACUAGCUUGACACUACAGCACUGAAAUCAGUGACAGAAACUCGAGCGCAGUUUACCAUCCGCUCCACUAGGCGGCGCGAGCGUGUUUCACUGUCAGCGCGACACCUUUGGGUCCUUGACAACAACGACGCUUGAUGACAGUCGCUACGACAAGUGCAGAUGACAGCUAUUAUCACACAACUGCACAUAUUCCAGCAAAUAAACCGACUCACAAUGCGAUAAAAUGCGGGAAUCGAGUGACAUUAACUCCUCGAAUAAGGGAUGUUUGGACACCCAGUCAUCAGAAGCAGAGCUGUAGGAAGUGUGGACAGACAUUGACUGUAAUGAUGGACUUCUGCUGAUGGACAGACAGAAAAGUAUAACCCCUGCUGGACAUCGUACCGGGGCUCGGGGGGGGACCCGACUCAUCCCCGCCCCUUCACGCUCACACCAUUCACUCAUAUCGCUGAGGUCUGGCUGGGAUUGAACCAGCAACCUCUGAACCCGUGAGGCAGCACUCUUAACCUGUGAGCCACAGAUCUCAUGUCUGAACAUGUGCAGGAACUUAUAUUUCACUGUUUCCUGACCUGUGAUUUACAAUAAACUAGUUCAAGCUUU